GGAGGGAUGCAUAUGGAGCGCUGGGUGAGGAAGGGGACAUGGGCUUGGGCCACCAGACCUGUCGAUUCAAGCCUGGAGAUCAGCGUGGUGACGGGUGUCACAGGCAGAUGGCCCUCUCAUCCAUCUUUUGAUAGUUUCUUUUUUUUCUAUAGUAAAAAGUGGAAAGGAGAUUUGAUUUGUAGAUAUAAUUUUUUUCAGCUCAUAAAGAUAGCUGUGUUUGUGUCUUGUAUUGCUCCGUGUUUAAUUUUCAACUGCUUGCAAUGUCUGUAUAAGUUAUAUGUAGACAUUUCUUGGAAUUUUUACAGUUCGUGCCAUGUGUAUAUUUUCACUUAUACAUGAGGAUGUCUAAUAAGUUUUGAAUUUGCCUACAAUUUUUCAGUAUGAAUGAAAUGCUACGAUCCAGGAUUACGAGAUUUUGGUAGGAUGGAGGAGCAGAUAAUUUUUGGAAUAUCUGGAUGUCUUAGCACUUUGCGAUAUAAGCUAGGGCAUAAUUCAGUAACAUGAUAUGUAGGUCAUGUGCUAAUCAGAGUUGUGAAGGAGAAUCUUUUGAAAUAAAAGCCCCACCCAACAAUCACCAGGGAAGAUAUUGGGUCACAGCAGGCUGGCCAUAAGCAAGUAAUGUGUUGAGGCUGUGGAAAAGGUUUGAUUUCAGUGAAAGAAAAAUUAUGCUGUUUUGAGAUGGAGAGGUUACAGCACUGGAGGCCAUAAGUCACGUGUGGGAUUGGUAGGAAAAUACCAGGUUUGACUUAUUCCUGUUUUUUUUUUCACUAACUGCAACUAUAUUAUUUAUGUCAAUUUCAUAGCUACAAAAGGUUCUGGAAAAGCUAUCCAAUACGACUGUAUUUAAAAAUCCGUUACUUUCUGUUCAAGAAAAUAAUAUUUGCAGUGGUUCUGAAAAGAAAUAUCUUUCUUUUAUUCUGCGUCAUAAAUUUUAGUGUCACAAACAUGAUGUACAAGAAAAUGGAUCAAAGUGGAGAAAGAGCAUAGAGUCUUAUUCUGGAGCAGGGGUUUCAUGAUGAAGUGAGAUCAUCUGCAAUGUGUUGCUUAGAACAUGGGGGCAAUAAAUCCACUUAGUGGAGGCAUUUACCAUGAAUUAUUUCACUCGUAGAUAUUUCCAUUUAAAUAUGCUAUGUGGAAGACUUUCUGAAAUUAGUGUUUUCUCAUAGUUGUGGAAUCCAGUGUACAAGUUUUUCCAAGAAAAGUGGAUUUUUAAUGUCACUGAGGACUCUCUGGAAGCCAUUUAACAAAGAUGCCUUGAAGGCUUCUCUGAAGUGUGUCGGAAGUUAGGCUUUUUCUUGUUUGCAUUUGUCUAGACUUUCUAUUUGGUGUGGGGAAAACCUUGGUGUGGCACCUGAGUCACCUGUUUUCACAACUGUAGAGACAAGAGCCUUUAAUUUUACUCUGGUCUUGCUAUGUAUAAAAUGGGCUAGGAGGCUGUACUUGUCUUAGAUAGCUGCAUUCCUUUUCCUGUACACCUUUCGUUUGAAAUCUGGAUAGUUGAAACUCAUUUUCUCCUGUUUCAUUGUAAUUGCUUCAUUGGCAUGUAUUAAGGAAAAUAUUAACACAAGUGAUUUUUAUCUAAAAGAGAAAAAUAAAAAAAGGUAUUGUAAAAUCAAGAUGAUGCAUAAAGAAAAGUUAUUCUCUUCUUCUGAGUAUAUUUGUCAUUGCUUUGGAUAGAAGACUGAAAGUAUGAGGAAGGGACAGCAAACUUAACUCCAAGGUAUGUUGUGUUUAUCUCCAUAACAGGUGGGUUUUCUAGGAAUCCCAGCUAAUCUAAUAUUGGAUCAUUGGUGAAAAUCUCCAAACCAAAUAAUAAAAUAGGUAAAAUCAUUAAUAUCCUUAUCAUAGCAUGUUUGUACAGUGGAGGAUUGGUGUCUUCCUUAUAAACUCAGUUUAGGAAUCAGAAGAACAUGUUGGACUCAACAAUCUUUCAAGUAGAAGCAAUAAUACGAUGGUUUGAAAAGUGGAUAUGCUUUAAAGGAAUCUCUUCAUCUUUCAUGUGAAAUAUAAUGCUGAAGAAAUUUAUUUUCUUCUAUGCUUUGAUGUAAAUUUGACUUAUCUGUUUCUCUCAAAUAACAUGGGUGAUCUCUGGGGCAACUGGAUAUCAGUUCUUGAAUUCUGCAGGCGGUGUCAUUUUCAUUCUUUGAGGGAGAGAAGGGGAAAGGACGAGGCAUGAGGUUAUAAAGCAGUAUAUGCUCAUCCUUACAUAGACCUUCUUGCAAUACUUAUAACCAGAUGUCUGUCUUUCCAGUUAUUGUAUUUUUCUGAUUUCUAUCACCUUGUGUGAUUCGGUGCUAUCUGAUCUUAUUAGGCUAAAUCCCUCUGCAUGAGGUAUGAAAUGCUGCUUUAAUAGCAAAAAAUGCCCAGUAGGAUUGUUCCCUUGGGAACCUUCUACUGAAGGUGAGCUCCCAGCACCUGACACGGAUCUGAUGAUCCAGGCGCUGUCUCGCCGAGGUGCUGGGCUGUCUCAGGUUCUCAUCCGAGGCUCCAUGAUGAUAGCUCUGUUUGCAUUCCGUGCCUUUUCGUGCAUCCUCACUGUGACAGGCAUCAGGGGAAUCACAAAGGCAGCAGAUGGUCUGUGCACAGUUCCCUCAAGCAUAAAACAACAUUUCUGUACUUCUUGUCAGGACCUUAAAUUGCACACUGUUCUGUUUGAUUAUUUUCAAACCCUGCAUUGGCCAUAGGGGCUCAGAUGAGAAAUAUUUGCAUAUCACAAAGUGGGAGCAAGGGCUAAAUUAAAGUGGCAAGCAACUGGAUUGAAACUAAAUUCUAAGUGGAAGUUGUAUGCGCUCGUUUUUAACAACGGUUUAUUUUGUUAUUUUUAAUGAAAGCAGUGACCUCUACUAGAAUUGAACAAGACACAGGUUGUGUACAGUGUGUUUAUGGGGUUUUUUUCUGUUUUCCCUUCACUGGCCAGAUAUACUGGAGUCGUUCAUUUAUGCCUAGACUUAAAAUAAUCAAACCUGUAAUAUGUAACAUGUACACCUAAAAUGUAUAUUCAAAUGUAGGCUAAAGAAUAUGAGUUCCAAAUGAGUUUAUUAUCCUUAAUGUUAUUCUGCUGCAGUUCAAGUAAAUAUAACGUAUUAGUUGCUCAUUGAAUGCAGUACCACUUUUCAAAAUUCAAUUUGCUGUGCAGGAUUUUUCCCAAGAUACAUUGGAUAAUGUCAAGUUUAAAUCUGUACGUGAGUCUACAGAGAUCGCCAUGCAGAUGGAGCUGUGGAAAGCCAGAGGAAAGAUUUUCAUAAGCACAUGGGGCUUCAACAAAUCUGCUUAAUUUGUUUUCCUCCCUGUUGGAGUCUGAAACACAGAGUGUGUACCCUUGUUUCUGAUACCUAGCUCUGAGAUCCAGAAGAACACUGAAUUUCAUAAAAUAUGAAAUUUAUGAGCAUGUUUUUAUAGUGAUAACAUGAAAACAACUAUUGAAGUUAGAUAGAAAAAAGCUAACAGGCUUUGGAGUUUUUGUCCUGACGCAGAGAACUGAAAUAAGCGGGACUCCCCCUGAGGGAAUAUCCCCAAGGAGCUCAGCUCCGAGGAGAUGGAGAAAUCCAGGAGUGAAAAGAAGUGCAGAAGAAGUGCAGCAACAGAAUCAAAAGAGAGAAAAAAGAAACAAAGAAUUAAAGGAAGUUAUAAGUGGUGCUCUGUGAGUGUCAGAGAGAGCUCACAGAAGCCUCUAUCAACGCCUGCCUGGAUCAGAGCAGCCAGUUCCUGAAAGAAAUCUGUCUGGAGAAAAACAUGUGCUAACAAAUUCCAGAGUUCCAAGGGCCUGGGACUCGCGGAACAUUGGAUUAUGCUGGUCAAUAAUCUGAAGAUAGCCAACAGGUCUGGCAAACUGUGUCCAGUCUAGAUAAUGGGAUUGAGUAUCUCUAAAGACGAAUUGUUUGAACCCAGGAUAUAGGAAAAGGCCAGAGGAGCCACAGAGAGGGAGGGAGCCGACCCCACUCUCUGACGAAUUUGAGCACCUAAAGGUGAUGUCAGAAAAGGCUGGUGAAGGGGACAUAGCGGUAUUCGCCCAUCAGACAGGCCCAGGCCACAAGGAGCGGUGGGAUAAGGCGGGAUGGCCGAGCCGCAGAGUGAGCCCGAGCAAAGGGGCGAGAGAUUAGAAGCAAUGUUAGGACGCUGCCAUAGACAGGUGGCGAAGGCUAAGGGGCUGAGCAAAGUCACAAAGGCACGCCCCACAGGGAGACCCAUGACACGGUCCAUGACGAGGAGGAGCCGGCCCUCAGGGGUGAAGGUUGGCGGGGCCUCCCGUGGAGCCGCGCAUGCGCCGAGCCUGCACAGUUCAUUCGGGAAGUAGGCCCAGGAGUGUGACAAAGAGUUGCGAUUUUCCUCUGGGGUCCUGUUUCUGGCACAAGAGGCAAUUGCUCAAAAAGGGAUUUAUCUCCUGGAUAAGAGUUUCCCCCUAAAUAUAAGUUUCUAGAGUUUUUUUUCCCUCAGAUUCAGAACCAGCAGAGGACGGACGGGGCUGGCAGCCAAGGCACGGCCCGAAACGCUGUCGUCGUGGCAACCACCGUUGAAACAAGUAACGGCAUCUUAUUGAAAUAACCGAAAUACAGAAAGCAAGUAACAAAAGAAAAAGAAAAAAAGAAAAAAAGAGACAGUGGAAAGCUAAGAUCAUGUCCUUGAGAAAUAAUUUUCACAACAGCAGAAAUAAUACAUAUCAUAUUUGAGGUGAAAAUGAAAUGGUCAACGGUAACAAGUGGAAGUUUUGUAAUGAUUUAUCCACCUUUGAAAAAAGGAGAUUUUUAAUUAGGCAAUUUAAAAAUUAGAAGCUUUGUAAAUUGUAUUUCUGGUUAAUCUGCAGAUUGUUGUAGUCAUGAUGAAGUUUUAAAAAGAAGUGCCUUCAAAAAUAGAUUAAAAAGUUUAUAGAUCUUGUAUAAUGGUAUAUAUAUGGAUAUUGUAUUUCUAAUGAUAUAUGCUGGGUUUUUUUUUAUAAGUAACAUGGAAAAUUAUGAUAGUUAUGAAUCCCAAGAAAUUUAAAAGAUUCCUGCUUUGUUUCAGUAUUCUCAAUACAUGAAGGUUUUGAAAAUGUUAUCUUCUCUAUACAAUUACUGAUAAUGUAACAUUGUAUGAUAUGGAGUGAUCAGGUAUUACUACUGUAGUUACAGUAAAUUUCUGCAAAGUGCAUCCAAAUAACAAAGAGCUGAUUAAAUUCUAAUUGUUAAGAAUUUUGUUUAAGGAGAGUAAGCUAGGGGCAUUCCUCCAGCUUGAAGCUGAGGCCUCGGCCAAGCCUUGACUUUACCUGGAUGGGGCAUCUACCCAUAAACCUAGAUGUUUUCUGCAUCAAAACAAUGUUCAAGUCAGUUUGACUUGGCAAUUAGUGAAUUAAUAUAGCAGCUGGAUUUUUACAGUGGGCUUGGAAAAUUGCUGUCCAGUCAUGAUUUUCCAAUCUUUCAUUGAUUUAUCAGCUGUGGCAAACUCUGGGAUGAGAGUAUGCAUUCAGUAAUUCAUACUACAGAUGAUUUAGAUAAUUUUAAUAUUGCAUAAUAUUAAUUUUGCAUCUUCUUAACAAGUUCUUGAUUGCUGUAAAAGUGUUAUUUCCUAUAUGUAUACAUGUGCAUGUGUUUUGCUUCAGUGUUUUUUUCAUUGUCAUAACAGGAAAACAGAUACCUUACCUUUGCUUACAAGAGAGGGGGAGAAACAGAGGCUGCGCCUCAGAAGUAUGGAAACCCUAUGUAUUUUGGAGUUUUGAAAAAAGCAUAAAUAUCUGAUAUCUAUUGCAAAUUUCCUGAAUAGUUCUUUUUAAACAGGUCUUUUGCAAAACCAAUUCCAUCAAUUAUCAGGUAUGCUUCUAACAGUACUCAGGCAAAGCUGAGAGAGAAUUCUUUGGUUCUGGUCAAAAGUCCAGAAGCAGGACAGAUUAAAAAUCCAUUUCAAUUAAUAAUUUGGAGGAAAGUGUAUAUUUGUGUAUUCACAGGUUCAAAGCAGAAGUAACUUCCUAAUGAAGAACGUGGAAACUUAUCAGCUGCAGAAACAAGGAGACAACCCAAAGAGCAGAAGAGCGAGCACGCAGAUGUGAACUGUAUCAAGACCAUAGCUGCAGCUGAAGAGCUUUGGUCCCACAUGCAAAAGCAAUGAAUUUUGGCUUUCAUAUAAAAGAGUGGAAAUAUUGAUAUUGUAAAGCCUCAUUUGUUAAAGCAAUGUGUGAAUCGUGUCAAGAUUCAGAAUCUUGCACGAAAGACAAAGCCACUGAAUAUGAGAGUGAAUCAGGUAUCACCCUUGAGCUGUAUCACUUUGUUGAUCACUUUGUGAUGCGAUUUUACCUGCAUCACUUCUUUUAGUUAACUCAAAAGAAAGUGUACCUUAUCUCAGUGAGGAUGGAUUUUUGUAUAAUAUUCAAUUUUUCUGUGUUAAAACAGAAUGAAGAUGAGAUGAUAAAUGUCACUCCUAAUCAUGCUUUAUACAAAAAGACAACAUCUUAGUGUAACUUUACAUCAAUCUUAGUCACACCUGAUUGUGAGGAGUUUGACUCAUAGAAUUUCAGAUGGAGACUUAUAACAACUCAACUUUCAAUUCAAGUAGCUUCAGCAGAAACCUUGAAACAAUUAGAUAAAUUAAACUACUGGUUAAAUAAGCAAGCUA